GUGCGCGGAAGGCUGCGUUCGCUACAGACGCGUGCGGAACCAGCAUUGGAGUCGACUCAGACUUGAACGUAUCGUGAGUACUUUGCUAAGAAGGCACAAGUACUCCUCCUCCACCGUGUGUCAAAAUUCCUCAGCACACCCGCCUAUACGCCGGUGCUUCUUUUCCUUCUUUCUGGCAAAUCGACGCACACUAUCGCACCCCACCUAUAUAAGGCGCUCACCACUUGCUAUAGACAUACAUGCCCUCUGGUAAACCACGUCUUCUGGGCCUCCAUCCUCUUAGUUCCUCCCCGAUACUGAGAGUGAGUACACAUUUUACUUGCAUUUUCCAGUGUAUAAUGUUCGGCCCCAUGCAACCUACAUAAGCUGAAAUCAGUUAUAUAAAUGCAAUAGCGCCUGUCCGUGUCCGCCUUGUGUCCUCGACUGUUCGCGCGCUCCUCAGUUAUGACUUUGUACCAAGUGGGCAACGCUUCUACCUUGCUGUAAUAAGUUAGACGGACCCCCGUUGUACCUGACUGAAAAAUUUUCUUCGCGCUAAUGAGCGCAUAAGCAGAAGUAAUCAAUUUGUGUAUAUAACUUUGGCGAGGUCUGUAAGAACGAAUGGAGAUAGAAAUCACCAGGAAUAUUACUUUUGUUCGUGUGUGCGCUAGAAACCUUUCCCCUUCCGCAGAUAAGUGUGUCCAGAAAGGAUGAGUGUUUUGCUGAAGAAGAAAACUUGCGCGUUGUAGUGAAAAUAAACAAAAUAGGAGACAGCGACCUUUACGGUGCACACAUUUUUUUGCGGAGUGCUAAUUGUUCCGCUGUUUCAGAUGGCUCCCCCAACCAAUAGGUCUAGACACUGGGCAAAGCCCAGCCACCGAGACCGAAACCGAGACAGGAACCGAAGGCCACGACGACGGGACGCCGCGACGAUGGCGCAGAGCGAGCAAAACAGGGUCACGCUCCUCGCGUGGACUGAACCCUGGGGCAUGCAGCCACAGGGAGUACGCGGGGACCCGUGGCCCAACCGGUUCCAAGACAUCCGACCCGUACAGAUGGGCCAAGCGGCGGGGGAGCAGGAAGCGGAGGUCGUCACGGCACCUUCAGGGCACGUACUUGAGACGUGCCCAACUUGCGGCGCCUUCGCCGUCAGCAGGGCUGUGCACAUCCGCACGAAGCGACAUAUUGAAGCUCUGCUGGCGGCGGAGGAGGCAGCUCCGAAGAAGCAGGAACCGAGAAAAGAACUGAGAACCGAGAAACCGUAGACAUGUAAAUAUAAGUGCUAUUUUUAUUGUUCGUGAAAUUAUGUUAAUGUAUGCAGAUGGAACGCAAUAAAAUUUAUCUCAAACUUGUAAACAGUACACUAUGUGUAUUUCCUUUGCCUUCGGCAAUAGACUUUAGUAUGGAGAUAA